GCCCCCGUGGCGUAAACGGCAGCCGCGCGCGGCUCAAAAUCGCGUGCCCGAGAGGGCGUGUGGGUUCGAAUCCCACCGGGGGUA
rnacentral:tRNA from 1 species